rnacentral:rRNA from 1 species
AUAUCAUUAAGCGGAGGAAAAGAAACUAACAAGGAUGCCCUCAGUAACGGCGAGUGAAGCGGGCAGAGCUCAAACUGAAAAUCGAUGCUCCAUGCGGGGUUUCGAAUUGUAGUCUAUAGACGCGCUAUCAGCGAUGAACCGGGUAUAAAUCUUUUGAAACAAGGUGUCAUAGAGGGUGAGAACCCCGUCUUUGACUCGGAGCUCAUUGCGUACGAUGCGUGUUCAAAGAGUCGAGUUGCUUGGGAUUGCAGCUCUAAGUGGGUGGUAAAUUUCAUCUAAAGCUAAAUAUGGACGAGAGACCGAUAGCGAACAAGUACCGUGAGGGAAAGAUGAAAAGAACUUUGAAAAGAGAGUUAAAAAGUACUUGAAAUUGUUAAGAGGGAAGCACUGGGAACCAGUAUUGCCGGUUGCUGUACUCGCCUAUUCGCGGGUUGGAGGCUGCGUGCCGGGAGAUCAAACCUCGGUUGCGUAGUCGAAGAUUCGUGAGUGGGUUCAGCAGUGAUUGGUGGGUCAAAAUCAAUUCGAUUCGCGGGAGAAAGCUAUCUGGAAGAUAGGGUCGAGGGGCAACCUGAGACCUGUUAUAGACGGGUAGUGCUACCGUGGGUUGGAUUGA